rnacentral:rRNA from 1 species
UACGGAGGGGGCUAGCGUUGUUCGGAAUUACUGGGCGUAAAGGGCUCGUAGGCGGCCAACUAAGUCAAACGUGAAAUCCCUCGGCUUAACCGGGGAACUGCGUCUGAUACUGGAUGGCUUGAGUUUGGGAGAGGGAUGCGGAAUUCCAGGUGUAGCGGUGAAAAUGCGUAGAUAUCUGGAGGAACACCGGUGGCGAAGGCGGCAC